rnacentral:rRNA from 1 species
UACGGGGGGGCAAGGCGUUGUUCGGAAUUACUGGGCGUAAAGGGCUCGUAGGCGGCCAACUAAGUCCGACGUGAAAUCCCCAGGCUUAACCUGGGAACUGCGUCGGAUACUGGAUGGCUUGAAUCCGGGAGAGGGAUGCGGAAUUCCAGGUGUAGCGGUGAAAUGCGUAGAUAUCUGGAGGAACACCGGUGGCGAAGGCGGCAUCCUGGACCGGUAUUGACGCUGAUGAGCGAAAGCCAGGGGAGCAAACGGG